AAUGAACGUUGGCGGCGUGGAUUAGGCAUGCAAGUCGAGCGAGAACCCCGCAAGGGGGGAAAGCGGCGUAAGGGAGAGUAACGCGUGGUUAUCUGCCCUCGGGACCGGGAUAGCUGUGGGAAACUGCAGGUAAUACCGGAUAAUGUCUCCGGACCAAAGGUGUGAUUCCGUCCGAGGAUGAGACCGCGUCCUAUUAGCUUGUUGGCGGGGUAAUGGCCCACCAAGGCAAUGAUGGGUACUGGGUGUGAGAGCACGACCCGGCUCACUGGCGACUGAGACACUGCCCAGACACCUACGGAUGGCUGCAGUCGAGGAUCUUCGGCAAUGGGCGCAAGCCUGACCGAGCGACGCCGCGUGCGGGAUGAAGGCUUUCGGGUUGUAAACCGCUGUCAGAGGGGAUGAAAUGCCGGCAAGUUCUCUUGCCGGUUUGACAUAUCCUCAGAGGAAGUACGGGCUAAGUUCGUGCCAGCCGCCGCAGUAAGAC
rnacentral:rRNA from 1 species